UUUCCAUAGGUGAACCUGCGGAAGGAUCAUUGUCGUGACCCUGACCAAAAGAGACCGCGCAUGCAUCAUCCAAUCCGCCGGUGAUGGCACCCUCCGUCGCUCGGCCAAGUCCUCGACCGGCUCCCCUCCUCGGAGUGGGGGCUCGGGGUAAAAGAAACCACGGCGCCGAAGGCGUCAAGGAACACUGUGCCUAACCCGGGGGCAUGGCUAGCUUGCUAGUCGUCCCGCGUGUUGUAAAGCUAUUUAAUCCACACGACUCUCGGCAACGGAUAUCUCGGCUCUC
rnacentral:misc_RNA from 1 species